rnacentral:rRNA from 1 species
GUGAACGCUGGCGGUAUGGAUAAGGCAUGCAAGUCGAAUGGGUUAGACCCAUGGCAGACGAGGUAGUAACAGGUAGGAACGUCCCCGGAAGUCGGGCAUAACCGGUCGAAAGAUCGGAUAAUUCCCGAUACGUCGCAAGAUGAAAGAUUUAUCGCUCCCGGAGCGGCCUGCCUUGUAUCAGCUAGUUGGUGAGGUAAUGGCUCACCAAGGCUACGACGCAUAGGGGACCUGAGAGGGUGACCCCCACCGAUGAGACUGAGACACGGCUCAUACCCCUACGGGGGGCCGCAGCCGAGAAUAUUCGACAAUGGGCGAAAGCCUGAUCGAGCGAUACCGCGUGGUGGAUGAAGUGCUUCGGCACGUAAACAUCUUUCAGACGGAAAGAAAUCGGGUGCGUGAAUAGCGUGCCUGGAUGACGGUACUGUCAGAAGAAGCACCGGCUAACUACGU